rnacentral:rRNA from 1 species
UACAGAGGUCUCGAGCGUUGUUCGGAUUCAUUGGGCGUAAAGGGUGCGUAGGUGGCUAGGUAAGUCGGAUGUGAAAUCCCGGGGCUCAACCCCGGAACUGCAUUCGAUACUGCUUGGCUUGAGUACUGGAGAGGAGAUUGGAAUUUACGGUGUAGCAGUGAAAUGCGUAGAUAUCGUAAGGAAGACCAGUGGCGAAGGCGGAUCUCUGGACAGUUACUGACACUGAGGCACGAAGGCCAGGGGAGCAAACGGGAUUAGAUACCCCGGUAGUCCUGGCAGUAAACGGUGCGCGUUUGGUGUGGGAGGAUUCGACCCCUUCCGUGCCGGAGCUAACGCGUUAAACGCGCCGCCUGGGGAGUACGGUCGCAAGAUUA